UUUCUCUAUUUUUUUUUUUGAUUUUUGAAAAAAAGCCAAGAAAAAUCCAUAAAUAAUGCUGCCUCCCUGCUUCACAGUGUGUUUUACGGUAAUUGACGUUACUCGGUGCUCCACUUUACUGUCCUUUACGGUAAUUGGCACGUUUUGGCGGGAUGUUAUCACAUCACCCGAUACCCCUAUAGCUAAAUCAAAGACCUCACCUGUUACACGGCAUUUGUUCUCGCCCUUUACAUAACAUUAACAUAACAGUCUAUGCCGUUGACACACAAACUGCCACAGCCUUUCAAGGCCAUUCAUUAAGUUCAACGGGAAAAGGAUUAAGGGAAAUUUCACAGUUCAAGAUCUUCAGCGACCGAGGGAUACAGCCUUGUUCAGAGUCAUUGCCGAGCUGCUAUCAGCAAACACCACGCUGACCUUUGCACCCACUCAGCUUUACAGCAGCUGUACAGACAGUGGAAGCCUCCAGCCCGGUGGGCUUGAUUGCUUUGAGUGACGGCUGCGGUCUUGAAAUGCGCCCCCCCCGCAUCUCUUGGGACUCUGGAUGGAGGAAUGUGGCAGGCUUUGGAAGAAGACAAGCCUGCAGCUCGACGGCCUCCUCCCUCCCAACUAUCCCUGCCUGCUCGCCUUCUCACGCACCGCUAAUCCCAGGCAUCUAUCGAGGGGAUAUGUCGGCUUCAGCCCUCACACCUCUCACACCAUAUGCUGUAAUGUAAAGCAACAUGCCAAGAGACUUAUAGUAAUGGCUACUUUCUCUACCAUCGCCAUAGAAAGCUCUCCCUGCAUUCAGUCUCUUAAGCUUGCUUCGUGGAUAUGUAAUGGCAUAACACAAGUUUCAAAUGAAGGUCUUUUUGCAUAACUUUGCAUUUAUGCCUCUUGUGCCUCUCAUAUUGACUUUGAGCAUGGAAACUCUGUAUUUCACUGACAAGAUUUGUUCUACUUUCUCUAAUGGACAGAAAGAUUUUCAUGUCAAGUUUCAUAAUUUUAAAUUUAAGAAGUUGUGCAACUUUGCACACCCUCUUCUAAAUGCAACCAAUGCCCCCAUUCAUCUGCAACUACUGUACAUCUUUCACUGUGCACCCUCUAUCGUGUGUCUUAUAUAUUAAACAUGAACCAGCUGUGGGAUGUUUUAUAUGGGUAGUCCCUCCAGCUGUGGGAUGUUUUAUAUGGGUAGUCCCUCAUGAGGGGACAAAUCCCCAAAAUAUGGCCUUAUACCCCUCUGUUGGGGGACAUCCUGUGCUGUGUAAAGAGGCAUGGUGAGGUGAUAAUGGUCUGCACACGUUAGUGGACCACUGUGUCAAAGUUCCAAUUAAUGAGGUUCUACUAGUACCCUUGCUGCCACAUGCAGCAUACAAUAGUUACCACAUGGCAAGUCUGUCCAGCCAAGACGGAUUAUGGAUGCCUUGUACAGUGUUGAUUGAGUGGGUUUGGUGGGAAGGGGCAGCACGGGCAGCCCAGCAUGCAAGUCUCUUAAGGCCGCUAUGUGGUUGUACGUAUAAUCGACGGCGUACCCCCGCAGACCCCUCUGCGUCUACGCCGGACCCUACGCCUUAGCCUGACGUGCACCUCUCGAAAAAUGUAACUACACGUCGCUUGGCCGUGGCUAGGUAGCGUUGCGUUUGCCCCUACUCAUUUCCCCUUACUCAGUUCCUGGUUGUCCUUCUCCAUAAACGACAUGAAAUCAAGGAGAGGGUUAACUUUUCCUGCUACAGAUGUCUCACCGUGGUCA